UAAAACGGCUCUGCUUUAUGGCAACCUGGUUCCGUCGCGAAGCGCUGUGGGCGACCCGCGUGAGUGAGUUGACUAGACAACUUGGUGGUGGGAAACGCGUCUCUUGGAGGUGGGAGACUUUGACGUUUUUUGCUAUGGGCAAACGCGGGAGCCGGAGCCAGAACGAGCUGCUCACCACCCUGACUAAGAAGCAGAAGAAGCAUCUUCGGGAUUUUGGCGAGGAGCAUCCAUUCUAUGACAAGGUUUCUGGAAAGGAGGCAAAACCACAGAUUUAUCAACUGUCAGAGAGUUCAGAUACUUCAGGUUCUGAAAGUGAAGCAGAGAGUGAACCAGAACAAGUUUCUGGGUACCACAAACUUCUUGCCACAUUAAAGAAUGCUGUAGAAGAAGAUGAGGAGGAGGAGGAAGAGAAUGAAGAAGAAGAGGAAGACGAAGAAGAAGACAGUGCUGUAGAUGAGGCGGAAAUGAACAGUGAAGAUGGUGGUAGUGAUGUCAGUGUGGAGAAAGAAACAACAGGAGAGUCUACCAAAGUGCAGGAGAGUACGGAUUUACCUGGUGACCCUGAAGGAAAAGGUGGGGAUGGACCACUUGGCACAUCACAAGAAUCCCUUGAGGAGUUCACAGAUGCAAAACAUGAGUCACUUUUCAGCCUGGAAACCAAUUUUCUUGAAGAGGAAAGUGGAGGCACAUGCUCUCUAAAAGUGUCACAAGAUCCAUUUCUACAACAUGUGAGCAAAGAACUGAAGGAAGAAGAAAUUCAAGCUGUUGCCACAAAUCCCAAAACUACACACCAGCUGAAAUGGCCAAUAUUGGGCCAGCUUGUCUUCUCCUCCAAGUUUCAGAAGUUGGAAACUUUUAAACCUUCAAAGGACAUUGAUUUAAAGUCACUUCAUCUCCAGAAGCCUCUGGAAUCCACCUGGACCAAGACCAACAGCCAGUUCCUCUCUGGUCCCUCCAAAUCAAGUGGCCCCUUCACCCCACUCCAGAAAGAGCUCUUCUUAAUUAUGAAUUCUUACCGGGACCUGUUCUACCCAGAAAGGACUGCCCUGAAGAAUGGGGAGGAGAUCCGCCACGUGUACUGCCUACAUGUAAUAAAUCAUGUCCUCAAAGCCAAUGCCCGGGUGCUUGGUAACAAUAGCAGACGCCGCAGCCAGAAACUUGGGGUGGGUGACGAUGAUGACUUCAGAGACCAAGGGCUAACAAGGCCCAAGGUGCUAAUAGUGGUACCCUUCCGGGAAGCUGCUCUGCGAGUGGUACAGCUCUUCAUCAGCCUCCUCGAGGGUGACAGCAAGAAGAAAAUAAUUGUGAGCAACAAAAAGAGGUUUAAGGGAGAGUAUGGCUCAGAUCCUGAGGAGAGACCACCCAACCUCAAGAGGCCCGAGGAUUACGAAGCUGUGUUUGUCGGCAACAUCGAUGAUCACUUUCGGAUCGGAGUGGCAAUACUUCAGAGAAGCAUCCGACUCUAUGCCCCCUUUUACUCCUCUGACAUCCUCAUUGCCUCCCCGCUGGGCUUGAGGACCAUCAUUGGUGCAGAAGGAGAGAAGAAGAGAGAUUUUGACUUUCUGUCUUCAAUUGAGCUGCUCAUCAUUGAUCAAGCUGACAUUUACCUGAUGCAGAACUGGGAGCAUGUCCUGCAUUUGAUGAACCAUAUGAACUUACUGCCCUUGGAUUCACAUGGAGUGGAUUUCUCUCGAGUGAGGAUGUGGAGCCUCAAUAAUUGGUCUAAGUACUAUCGCCAGACACUGCUUUUUGGGGCCCUGCAGGAUGCCCAAGUCAACUCUGUGUUCAACAAGUACUGCGUCAAUCUGCAAGGCCAGGUGGCUGUGAGGAAUGUCCCAAUGACAGGCUCUAUCAGCCAUGUCCUGGUGCAGCUUCCACAUGUCUUCCAGAGGUUGGAAGCUGAAAACCUAGCUUCAGUGAUUGAUGCCAGGUUUAACUUUUUUGUGAACAAGAUUUUGCCUCAGUACCGUGAUGCCGUGAUGUCUCACACACUCAUCUACGUCCCCUCCUACUUUGACUUUGUGCGGCUCCGGAAUUACUUCAAGAAGGAGGAACUGAAUUUCACCCACAUCUGCGAGUACACUCAGAAGUCCGGUAUCUCCAGGGCCAGACACUUCUUCCUUCAAGGAGAGAAGCAGUUCUUGCUCCUCACAGAGCGCUUCCAUUUCUACAAAAGGUAUACCAUUAAAGGGAUCAGGAACCUGAUUUUCUAUGAACUGCCAACGUAUCCCCACUUCUACAGUGAAGUCUGUAACAUGCUGAAAGCCACCAGCAGAGGAGAGGAAGCCACCUGGACUUGCACUGUCCUCUACUCCAAGUAUGAUGCCCAGCGGCUGGCUGCUGUGGUUGGCGUGGAGCGGGCUGCACAGAUGCUGCAGUCCAAGAAGAACGUCCACCUGUUUAUCACUGGAGAAAGAUGAAACUUUGUUGGACAGGAAAUGGUGUUGGUGGGGUAAUAAUGCUUACUUCUGUGCCACUUGGACCCAGUUCUGAUCACUUACAUGAGAGAAGGACUGCUAUAAGGAAGGAGCACCAGGCAGCGUCAUAUUGGAUGAUUCUUUUUAGGUCAUGUGUCCCUGAAAAGUUAACUAAAUUUUGUAAACUAAAUUUUGGUCACCUCUGACAGAGAUCAGGAGGGAGCUGAUAAACUCCGAGAUGUUGAUAGAGGAAAAACUUCUACUUGAAGCUCUUUGUGUGAACCUGGAUUUCAAGUCCAUGAUGUAGCUGCAGGAAGUCUACAUUGUAUUUAGCAUCCCUGGUGAUUGUAGUGCUGGCUUGUAGCCAGCCAACUGCUUCUUGCCUGUAAAAACACUGAGGAUUUCAAAUGUGAACAAGUACUGCUUCUGUUCUUGGCUUAGCACCUGCAAAAGAAGGGUGCAGAUAGGGAUGUCUUUUGGGGGGAGUGAUAUUGUUAAGGAUGAAAUGAAACCACAUGCAUAUUUGUGGAGCUUAUAGAAGUUCCCCUCUCCCUUUCACAUGGACUGCCCGUGGAUCCCGUCAUUCAACUGCUAUGCACGAGCGUGCACGCUGGGCCAGGAAUGCUUCUGGGCACUUAGGACACAACAAUAAAUGGGACAGACAUGCUUCUUGCACUCUGAGAGAUUCAUGGGGAAGACAGGAAGUAAACAAUCAGAAGCUACAUAAAAAUGUAGAUGGUGCUAAAUGCUGGAAGAAAAUGAAGCAAAGAUAGAGAUUUUGGCCACCCCGUUUCCUUUGCCUGGAAUGCCCAGUCCGCACUUCUACCCCUGCUCAGUCCCCAGUUCUACUGCUGCUGAACUCUUGCUCCUUUUUCAAGCCCCCCUUUAAAUGAUCAUCUUUGUGAAAUCACAGUUUGCUAUCACACUUAAUCCUAUAGACUUCCCUAAAGUUGUCCAAAUCUGUCUGUGAGGCUGAGGGCAAUACUUUAUCUUGUUCGUUGUUGCAUUUUUCAAACCACUGUCCAUCAGGAAAGCUACUCGGAUAUUCUGAAGAGGAACACUGACACCAUCACGCCAAGCAACUACCUGAUGUGCCAGUUCCCAAGUGGCAAAUCCUCAGAGUGAGCACUGGGGGAGGGACCGGACUGGGCAGGCAUCCUGGAACUCUGUAGGGCCAAAUGAACAAACUUUCAAACAAAUAACAGAAUGAAACAUCACA